AGGGAAUCUUCGGCAAUGGACGAAAGUCUGACCGAGCAACGCCGCGUGAGUAAAGAAGGUUUUCGGAUCGUAAAACUCUGUUGUUAGAGAAGAACAAGGAUGAGAGUAGAACGUUCAUCCCUUGACGGUAUCUAACCAGAAAGCCACGGCUAACUACGUGCCAGCAGCCGCGGUAAUACGUAGGUGGCAAGCGUUGUCCGGAUUUAUUGGGCGUAAAGCGAGCGCAGGCGGUUUCUUAAGUCUGAUGUGAAAGCCCCCGGCUCAACCGGGGAGGGUCAUUGGAAACUGGGAGACUUGAGUGCAGAAGAGGAGAGUGGAAUUCCAUGUGUAGCGGUGAAAUGCGUAGAUAUAUGGAGGAACACCAGUGGCGAAGGCGGCUCUCUGGUCUGUAACUGACGCUGAGGCUCGAAAGCAUGGGGAGCGAACAGGAUUAGAUACCCUGGUAGUCCACGCCGUAAACGAUGAGUGCUAAGUGUUGGAGGGUUUCCGCCCUUCAGUGCUGCAGCAAACGCAUUAAGCACUCCGCCUGGGGAGUACGACCGCAAGGUUGAAACUCAAAGGAAUUGACGGGGGCCCGCACAAGCGGUGGAGCAUGUGGUUUAAUUCGAAGCAACGCGAAGAACCUUACCAGGUCUUGACAUCCUUUGACCACUCUAGAGAUAGAGCUUCCCCUUCGGGGGCAAAGUGACAGGUGGUGCAUGGUUGUCGUCAGCUCGUGUCGUGAGAUGUUGGGUUAAGUCCCGCAACGAGCGCAACCCUUAUUGUUAGUUGCCAUCAUUUAGUUGGGCACUCUAGCGAGACUGCCGGUGACAAACCGGAGGAAGGUGGGGAUGACGUCAAAUCAUCAUGCCCCUUAUAACCUGGGCUACACACGUGCUACAAUGGGAAGUACAACGAGUUGCGAAGUCGCGAGGCUAAGCUAAUCUCUUAAAGCUUCUCUCAGUUCGGAUUGUAGGCUGCAACUCGCCUACAUGAAGCCGGAAUCGCUAGUAAUCGCGGAUCAGCACGCCGCGGUGAAUACGUUCCC
rnacentral:rRNA from 1 species